GACAAAAUUUCCAAUCUGAAGCCUAGUUCUGAUGGAUAUAAGAAAGCAUGGGAGAAAGUCAAAGGGGUCAACUAUGAGAAAGUACAAACAUUUUACGAACAGCUCAGCAAAAAUUUUGAUGUCUUAGAGACCCUCGGAGAGAGUGGCAUGUUAAAGGGGUUUGUUUUAACUACAUUGAACAAACUCCCUCAAGUUAAAACUGACUUAGUGAGAUCUGAUGACAAUUGGG